ACAUUCUCUUUCUAUCAAGGCUCCUUGCUCCGGUUCGACAAACCUUCAUCUGGUUCGGCAUGAUCUUUUUGAUCUUCUCAGGCGUUGUUUGAAGGAUGUUUCUUCACUCUCAUCUAGUUUCGGACGCUUUUGUUUAUGUACUCAGGCGAUGCAUGUCUGAAGGGCUCAGUUGCUGCGUGACGGGACUGUAAAUAACUUUUCUUUCUUGGCCAUCUCUCGUAUGUAAGAAGGGUAUCUGUCAAUCGGUCAUGGCGAUUCCAGAAAACCUUAUGAAAUUCAACCAUGUUUCUCGCCGCCGACGUCGUCUUUGGUUGGUUAUCUUCGAUGGAACGUGAAGUUUCCGGGGAGAAAAGCAGGAGAAGGAAUCUUAGAUUACGUUGCCGGACAAUCGGAACAGGUGAAGGAAAAAGGAGAGUCAGGAGACCCUGAAAUCUGAGAAAUCUGAGAGUAAAGAAAUGGGUUUGGAAUCUCGAGUUUCAGAUGAGUAGAAUCAAACCCUAUUUCUCUUUUCUUUCUUUCCUUCUCUUCUCUGUAACUUUCUAUCUCUUUCUAUCCGCGCCAUCAUACCGCUCUCCUUCUUGUCUGGUUCAGGAGCAUGGCUGUUCCUGUUUUCACAUCAAAAAUUCAUUUGGUAUAAGCGCCUUUUUUUGGAUCUUUUCAGUGAUUCGUCACAUUCGUCACGAUGUUUGAAUUCGGCGGUUGCUGCUCGGAUUUCUCAGCCAAAAAAAUCCUGAAAGAUCAACUCAAGAUCGGCUUAUAAAACUGUAAUAUUGAGCGUUUGUGCAAUUCUCCCUUUCUUGAUCAGAAUUUUUAUUCACCUUAACAAAUAAAAAAUAAUCUAGAAUGUCGGUGGGGUUUUGGACGCCAUGGAUUAAUGGCCCUAAAACGGAACAUAUUCUCAUGAUUUUUUUUUGUUUAUGAUAGGACUUGCAAACUUUCAUGGAUUUCCAUCAUAAAUUUAAGUAUAUGACUUCUAUAUAUGGGAAUCAAGCUGUUUUUGUCUGCUGCUCUUGGCUACUUGUUCUAGUACUUUGUAUGUUUGCCUUGAUUACCAUGCCAUGAUUGCAGCUGGAUGACCAGAUCUCAUCAAACUGUGAACCCAGGAAACCUUCGUACACGGGGUUGCAUGAUGGAAGACAUUUAUUUGAGGUCUGCAUCAAUGGGUCUCAAGGAGUUGGCUGUGCUAGCCAUAACUGGACUGUUGUUACAGUUCACCCUACUGCAUAUGUUACAGCCAAAACAUAUUUUACAAAUGCCCCCAAUGUCAUUGUAAAUAUUUCUUUCACUGCACCCUGCAUUGGAGGAGGUGGUUUUGGGUGCUUAUCUGUGAAUGCCUGCAAUUUUCUUGUCUAUGGUGCUGUUCAAGUAAUACCAUCUACACUAAAAAAUUCUUCAGCCAUACCUCCUAUUUUCUCUUGUUGUGGGUUUAUGGAUAAGAAUUUCUGUACAGACAGCGCUGGAAACCCAUUUAGAGGAGUGCAAACUCAAGUUUUGUUGUACGCUUUGGUAAGUUGUGCAAAUUCAUUUUUCUCUCUACAGCGAAACUGGUUAAAAGUUUGGUGUAUUUUGAAUCUAAAUAAAUAAAAAAUUCUACACAAAAGAUUAUUCCUCUUUUUGUAAGCCAACCCUAUUAAGUUGGGAUAAGGCUUUGUUAUUGCUGUUGUUGUUGCUGUUUUUCAAAAAAAAAAAAAAAAAAAUAUAUUGCAAUGUAAUUAUUAUGCUGUAGUAACAAGUUGUUUGAAAUUGAACUAUGGAUAAAUCGUAGACUAUGUUCUGACAUCCAUUUAUAGGAGUUCCUUUUCAACACACUUUCUUCCUUUUGGUUGGUUUUCAGAUAGAAGAAAUGUGUUUGUGAACCUCAGGACUGGAAUUCCUAAACAGCUCCUCCAAAUCAAUGGUGAAACCAGAACAAUUGAGGCAACAAACAAUUCUAAGAACCUAAACGUGUAUUUAUACUUCUCAGACCCUGUUCGCACCUCAUCUGCAGAAAUUCUUGCUUCUCUUCAAAUGAGUCAGGGACUGCUUCUUCCUACUAAUGGAAAUAGCCUAUGAAACCGCCGAGCUUCCUUGUGAAUUAUUUCCUCAUAGAAUACACCUUUCAUAUCCUCUAGUUUGAAGAUGAGUACCUGUUUGCCAAUUUUUAAUUUCAACUACCAAAAGUUUUCCAGCAUUUAAAAUUAGAGUAUCAUAGUCUGAAAGUUUAAAUUAUAUACAAAAUAUUUUCUCCAUAUUCUCAAAAUUACUUGGUGUGUUUAAGGUACCAUUCGACACUCAUGUACAUGAGAACCUUUAGUUAAUUCUUGAUUAUUUCCUUUCAGCUGUAUGAGUUAUUGAAAUUUCUAUUUUUCCAAAUUGCAUAUGAAUUUUGUGAACUACCUAAUAUCCUUGUUUGAUGCAAUUUUAUCACUUUGCAAGUCUGUAGAUUUUCCAACAUGUUUCAAGGUUAAAAUGAUAUCUUGAAAAUGGAUACUUUGACCAUUUAUGAGAAAACAAUGUAGUCUAUUCAGUUGUAGGAAAAAUCAAUUCAAAUGGAUUAAGGAGAACUAUUGCUACUUCUCUCAAGAAAUUUUAGCAUCUAGAUGAACUGCUGAUAUCUUUGAUGCAUGAUCCAUCUCUCGAUAUAUUGUUUUAAGAUUUCAUGGUCUUCCUUUCAUGUAUUUAAGGGUGUGGAUAAAAAAAUUACAGAUCGUAAAAGGCCUACUGUGAGAUUGACAACAGCAUCUAACAUGAGGACUGGAGAACAGUGUACUAGUGCUAAUAAAGUUUGCAAAGCCCAUAUUUGGCUUUAACUAUUCAGCACUAUCCAUUUCAGGCAGGCAUUUAGGCAAGUUACUCUCUAAUCACUUAAUUUUAGUCUGUUGCAGUUGGCAAGUUCCGAAACUGACCUUAUAUGAUUAUGUUAGAUCAAAUGGCUAUAAAAAACUUGCUUACGUAUUUGAAGGACCAAAUAUAAAGGAUUUCACACGUUGCAAGACCAUGCUUUAGGACUAAUUCCUACAGUCUUGCUUAGUGAUGGAAGGUGACAGAAUAUAUAUAAUGAUCUGAUUGCAGGGGGAGCCAGUGGCAGAAAAAAGGGGUGGGAUAAAAAACUUAAAAUCUAACAGAACCCCGAUAUUUCCAAAAGUACCAAUCAGGUUAAAAGAUAUUUUCAAUGAAAAAGGUAGCAAAUGUUUUUCAAGGACUUUAGGCUGAUCUCCUUUUAUUCUUUUUAUCUUUGGUGAAUUUCUCUAUACAUAAAUUUUAGUUUUCUUUAAUUUUCAAUAAAUCAUUACUGCUUACAGUUAAACCUUUGUCCUGUAUGUAACAGUUUCUCCUUUCCCAGUAUUUUUCAAAUACUAUAAAACAUAUUUAGUACAUGCUUUUAAUAGAAUGAAUUGGUUUUUUCAAUGAUGUUGCACAACAGUUUCUGUUCUUCUUGGCUCUCUUUUCCUCUUAGCUCUUUGUUACAUUGUGCAGCUUUUGGGAAAUCAGUAGGAGCACAUAUGCAUUAGAGAUACAUGCAACUAACAAAAAUGUAUCCAUCCAUGUUCCUGAAAAUAUAACUGCAGAUGUUGCGUGAAACAGAAAUUUGGCAUCAAACACUCAACAAGUGAGGCACUUUUUCAGGAAAUCAGUAGGAGCACAUAUGCUGUAGAGAUACAUGCAACUGACAAAAAUGUAUCUGUCCAUGUUCCUGAAAAUAUAACUACAGAUGUUGCGGGAAACAGCAAUCUGGCAUCAAACCACAAGUGACGCACUAUUCGGUGCCUUUGGUAUCUUCAGUUUUCUCCAUCUUUGCAACUACUGCUUUUGUGGUAACUUCUUCAGCUUCGGGAUUGCUUACAGUUUCCACUGCAAGACUUCAAUCAAUUGGGGCUAUCUUCAUCGGCAUCUGAUCCUCUUUAUCUCUUGACAAGCUCCAUGUGGAUGGGAGGGAGAGGGAAGAAAGUUGGAGAUACAGUUCACCCCACUGCAUAUGCUACAGCCGAAACAUAUUUUACUAAUGCCCCCAAUGUCAAUGUAAAUAUUUCUUUCACUGAACCCCGCAUUGGAGGAUGUGGUUUUGGUUGCUUAUCCGUGAAUGCCUGCAAUGUGAGUAGCUUCUUGUAUAUGGUGCUGUUCAAGUAAUAUCAUCUACGCUCAAAAUUCUACAGCCAGGCUUCCUAUUUUCUCUUGUUGUGGGUUUAUCUCCUAGUGUUCAUUAUGGGCUAAUAAUAGUUGUUAUGGAUAAGAAUUUCUGUAUAGACAGCGCUGGAAACCCAUUUAAGAGGAGUGUAAACUCAAGUUUCGUUUUAUGCUUUGGUAAGUUGUGCAAAUUCAUUUUUUUCUCUUUAGUGAAGCUGGUUAAAAGUUUGGUGUAUUUUGAAUCUGAAUACAUAAAAAAUUCUACACAAAAGAUUAUUCCUCUUUUUUUUUUAGCCCACCCUAUUAAGUUGGGAUAUGGCUUUGUUAUUGCUGCUGUUGUUGUUGUUGUUGUUGUUGUAUUCCUGUUUUUCAAAUUUUAUUUAUACAA